GCCGGGAUGGCGGAAUUGGUAGACGCGCCUGAUUUAGGAUCAGGUGUCCCUAGGACGUGCAGGUUCGAGUCCUGUUCCCGGUA
rnacentral:tRNA from 5 species